rnacentral:rRNA from 1 species
UACGUAGGGUGCAAGCGUUAAUCGGAAUUACUGGGCGUAAAGCGUGCGCAGGCGGCUAUGCAAGACAGAUGUGAAAUCCCCGGGCUCAACCUGGGAACUGCAUUUGUGACUGCAUGGCUAGAGUACGGUAGAGGGGGAUGGAAUUCCGCGUGUAGCAGUGAAAUGCGUAGAUAUGCGGAGGAACACCGAUGGCGAAGGCAAUCCCCUGGGAUAACACUGACGCUCAUGCACGAAAGCGUGGGGAGCAAACAGG